rnacentral:sRNA from 1 species
GUCGAACAAGCCGCCUUCUGCCCGGCCCACAUCGUCCCAGGAAUCGAGUUCUCGCCAGACAAGAUGCUCCAAGGGCGUAUCUUCUCCUACACGGACACGCAUUACCAUCGCCUUGGACCAAACUACAUUCAGCUUCCAGUCAACUGCCCGUACCGCUCCCGUGCUCAUACCACUCAACGCGAUGGUGCAAUGGCUUAUGAAAGCCAGGGAGAUGCGCCGAAUUACUUCCCGAACAGUUUCCGCGGAUACCGUACUCGUGAUGAUGUGAAGGAGUCGACAUUUCAGACGACUGGAGAUGUUGAUCGUUAUGAGACUGGAGACGAUCACAACUACGAGCAGCCACGUCAGUUCUGGGAGAAAGUGCUCAAGGAGGAGGAGAGAGAUCGGCUCGUUGGGAAUUUGGCUAGUGAUUUGGGUGGCUGUUUGGAGGAAAUUCAAAAUGGAAUGGUCAAAGAGUUCACGAAAGUUCAUCCGGAUUUCGGAAAUGCUCUUCGCCAUCAGCUCUGCCAGAAGAAGCAUUAAAUUGUUUGAUAUUCAAACUUUUGUAUAUAGAAUCUCGUUAUUUAUAAACUCUUUUUUUUGUAUUUCUUCUGGUUUUUGAUGAUAAGAAAUUUUAUGUGCACAUAAAUCAAAAAAGCCGGAAAUUAAAUAGCGUUUUAUCAGGCAGAAAAUUGGCCACGUGACGUCAUCAUUUUCCUGUUUGAAGAAAAUCUGGAAAAUUUUUUGUUUCAGUCAAUUUUUAAAGAUGAAAACUUAAGUUAGACUGUAAAAGCAAUUUUCGCGCCAAAAUUACGGUAUCGGGUCUCGAAACGACAGUUUUUUAUCUAUUGCGAAAAUAUGUGCGCCUUUAAAGAGUACUGUAGUUGCAAACUUUUGUCGCUGUGGAGUUUUUAUCGAUUUUUUAUAUUUUUUCGAUGAAAACAACUCAAAUAUAACAAUAAAAACACAAAAUUAAAAAAAAAAUCGAUAAAAAAUCCGCGUCAACGAAAGUUUAAAGUUACAGUAUUUGUCGUUUCGAGACCGGGUACCGUAGUUUUUGGUGAAAACAUUGCAAAAUUUGGUCAACAAUUUCAUCGCUGCGAGACCGACACAACACUUUAUUUUAUUUUUGGGUUUCCCUUAUCGCUUAUCAUAAACAUGUGACGUCAUCAUCUCUUGUACAGAGCACCGCGACUGGGAGUAUAAGAAUCGCCGGAAAACAUCAAUAAUCAGUUCGGUAGAAGUGAAAAUUGAGCGUAAAAUAUGAUCAUUUUUCGAUGCACCAUAUUUGACGCGCAAUACUUCUACAAGCCGCUGUGUACUGCUCGUGGACAACUUUGGAUUAUUUUUUGUUUUUAAAAUUCAAAAUAGUCAAUAUAUUGCUUAUUUAUAGCGCGCCUUUUUGACAGUAAGUUUGUCAAAUUUGCGCGUAAGUUAUGGUGUUUGCACAUAUGCACCAUACAGCAACACCCCGCGGCCCGGCUAGUGGUACAUCCAUGCAAAUGCGCUCUACUGAUAAUUUGAGUUUAACCAGGUUUAGGCGCAAGAUAAGAAAAAAGCUUUGGACCAAAAAAUUUAGAGUUUAUUUUUUUCGGACAUUUUUUAUAUACAUCACAAAAAUAUUGGGCCACUCGUUUUUGAUAAAAACGACAAGCCCAAAAGUUCAGGUAUACGGUAGACAAAUUGCGUACAGGUACCACUUUUCCACGUAGUGCCAGGUUGUCCCAUUACGCUUUGAUCUAUGAAAAAUGCGGGAAUUUUUCGUCCAGAAAAAUGUGACGUCAGCACGUUCUCAACCAUGCGAAAUCAGUUGAAAACUCUGCGUCUAUUCUCCCGCAUUUUUUGUAGAUCUGUAGAUUUGUAGAUCAAUCCAUUCCCCGUAUACCCUGACCCAUAAUCAAUACCUACCUAAUUUUUGUCUUUCCCCCUACUUUUUUGCCUGUCCAAAAUAAGCGAGACUAUGCCGUAGUCUGGUGUCCAACAACAUGUUCCUUAUCAGUGAUAACGCUACAAUCUUCUUUCUUUUUUCUCUGUUUCUCUUGUCUCUCCCAACCCAUAUUCCGUAUUACACCUCGUCGUGGUCAUUUUUUUGUUCAGAGUUUUAUUUAAUUCUAAAUUUCCUAACUAAAAUUUCAGAACCAAAAUGCCAAACGAUCCAUCGGAUAAUCAACUGAAAACCUACAAGGAGACGUAUCCAGUGAGUUUAGAGUUUAAAGGCACAGACGCAUUUUCUACAACAACAACUACUAUUUACAGUAACUUGUUUCAGAAACCCCAAGUGAUCACAACUUCAAAUGGAGCUCCGAUCUACUCGAAGACCGCCGUGCUCACCGCCGGGCGGCGUGGCCCAAUGCUCAUGCAAGAUGUAGUUUAUAUGGAUGAGAUGGCUCAUUUCGAUCGUGAACGUAUCCCCGAGCGUGUCGUUCAUGCCAAGGGAGCCGGAGCCCAUGGAUACUUCGAGGUCACCCAUGACAUCUCCAAGUACUGUAAGGCCGAUAUCUUCAACAAGGUCGGGAAGCAGACCCCACUGCUAAUUAGAUUCUCUACAGUCGGUGGUGAGAGCGGAUCCGCCGACACCGCUCGUGAUCCACGUGGAUUUGCGAUCAAGUUCUACACCGAGGAGGGAAACUGGGAUCUGGUUGGAAAUAACACUCCGAUCUUCUUCAUCCGUGACCCUAUCCACUUCCCGAACUUUAUCCAUACCCAGAAGCGUAAUCCACAGACUCACCUGAAGGAUCCCAACAUGAUCUUUGACUUCUGGCUUCAUAGACCAGAGGCUUUGCAUCAAGUGAUGUUCCUGUUUUCCGAUCGAGGACUCCCAGAUGGGUACCGUCAUAUGAAUGGAUACGGAUCCCAUACAUUCAAGAUGGUUAACAAGGACGGAAAGGCUAUCUAUGUGAAAUUCCAUUUCAAGGUGGGUCCUUAAUGUUAUUUAAAUUUUUCGGUCUAUAAUUUCCAACUUCAGCCAACUCAAGGAGUGAAGAAUCUCACCGUGGAGAAGGCCGGUCAACUUGCCUCUUCGGACCCAGACUAUUCCAUCCGUGACCUGUUCAAUGCUAUUGAGAAGGGAGACUUUCCAGUAUGGAAGAUGUUCAUUCAAGUGAUGACAUUCGAACAAGCUGAGAAAUGGGAGUUCAAUCCAUUUGAUGUCACUAAAGUUUGGCCACACGGUGAUUACCCACUGAUCGAGGUCGGCAAGAUGGUGCUGAACAGAAAUCCAAGGAACUACUUCGCUGAGG